AACGCACCUUGCACCUUUUGGUACUCCGAAAGGUAUGCCUGUUUGAGUGUCAUGAAAUCUCAAUCCCCUCGGGUUUUGUUACCCGGGGUGGACUUGGACUUGGGCGCUGCCACCCGUGGCUCGCCUCAAAUGUGUUAGUGGGAUGUAGUGUCCGCGACCAGACGUAAUAAGUUUCGUCGGGUUCGGCGCCUCCGCCCGCUCACAACCAACCAAUAUCUUCGGAUAUCUUCUGACUCUGACCUCAAAUCAGGUAGGGCUACCCGCUGAACUUAA
rnacentral:misc_RNA from 1 species